rnacentral:rRNA from 1 species
GACGAACGCUGGCGGCGUGCUUAACACAUGCAAGUCGAACGGAAAGGCCCUGCUUUUGUGGGGUGCUCGAGUGGCGAACGGGUGAGUAACACGUGAGUAACCUGCCCUUGACUUUGGGAUAACUUCAGGAAACUGGGGCUAAUACCGGAUAGGAGCUCCUGCUGCAUGGUGGGGGUUGGAAAGUUUCGGCGGUUGGAGAUGGACUCGCGGCUUAUCAGCUUGUUGGUGGGGUAGUGGCUUACCAAGGCUUUGACGGGUAGCCGGCCUGAGAGGGUGACCGGCCACAUUGGGACUGAGAUACGGCCCAGACUCCUACGGAAGGCAGCAGUGGGGAAUAUUGCACAAUGGGCGGAAGCCUGAUGCAGCAACGCCGCGUGCGGGAUGACGGCCUUCGGGUUGUAAACCGCUUUCGCCUGUGACGAAGCGUGAGUGACGGUAAUGGGUAAAGAAGCACCGGCUAACUACGUG